rnacentral:sRNA from 1 species
GCCAGUUGAAGGCAGCCAUCAUGUGCCA